rnacentral:rRNA from 1 species
CCAAACUGUUGCCUCGGCGGGAUCUCUGCCCCGGGUGCGUCGCAGCCCCGGACCAAGGCGCCCGCCGGAGGACCAACCAAAACUCUUAUUGUAUACCCCCUCGCGGGUUUUUUACUAUCUGAGCCAUCUCGGCGCCCCUCGUGGGCGUUUCGAAAAUGAAUCAAAACUUUCAACAACGGAUCUCUUGGUUCUGGCAUCGAUGAAGAACGCAGCGAAAUGCGAUAAGUAAUGUGAAUUGCAGAAUUCAGUGAAUCAUCGAAUCUUUGAACGCACAUUGCGCCCGCCAGUAUUCUGGCGGGCAUGCCUGUCCGAGCGUCAUUUCAACCCUCGAACCCCUCCGGGGGGUCGGCGUUGGGGAUCGGCCCUUUACGGGGCCGGCCCCGAAAUACAGUGGCGGUCUCGCCGCAGCCUCUCCUGCGCAGUAGUUUGCACACUCGCAUCGGGAGCGCGGCGCGUCCAAUGCCGUAAAACACCCAACUUUCUGAAAUGUUGACCUCGGAUCAGGUAGGAAUACCCGCUGAACUUAAGCAUAUCAAUAAGCGGAGGAA